GCAACACCCAUUUCGCUCAGUGGUCGAGCGUUGGCUUUGGAAGCCACAGGUCGGUGGUUUGAUUCCACCCAGGUGCA
rnacentral:tRNA from 1 species